rnacentral:rRNA from 1 species
GGUUAAGCGACUAAGCGUACACGGUGGAUGCCCUGGCAGUCAGAGGCGAUGAAGGACGUGCUAAUCUGCGAUAAGCGUCGGUAAGGUGAUAUGAACCGUUAUAACCGGCGAUUUCCGAAUGGGGAAACCCAGUGUGAUUCGUCACACUAUCAUUAACUGAAUCCAUAGGUUAAUGAGGCGAACCGGGGGAACUGAAACAUCUAAGUACCCCGAGGAAAAGAAAUCAACCGAGAUUCCCCCAGUAGCGGCGAGCGAACGGGGAGCAGCCCAGAGCCUGAAUCAGUGUGUGUGUUAGUGGAAGCGUCUGGAAAGGCGCGCGAUACAGGGUGACAGCCCCGUACACAAAAAUGCACAUGCUGUGAGCUCGAUGAGUAGGGCGGGACACGUGGUAUCCUGUCUGAAUAUGGGGGGACCAUCCUCCAAGGCUAAAUACUCCUGACUGACCGAUAGUGAACCAGUACCGUGAGGGAAAGGCGAAAAGAACCCCGGCGAGGGGAGUGAAAAAGAACCUGAAACCGUGUACGUACAAGCAGUGGGAGCACGCUUAGGCGUGUGACUGCGUACCUUUUGUAUAAUGGGUCAGCGACUUAUAUUCUGUAGCAAGGUUAACCGAAUAGGGGAGCCGAAGGGAAACCGAGUCUUAACUGGGCGUUAAGUUGCAGGGUAUAGACCCGAAACCCGGUGAUCUAGCCAUGGGCAGGUUGAAGGUUGGGUAACACUAACUGGAGGACCGAACCGACUAAUGUUGAAAAAUUAGCGGAUGACUUGUGGCUGGGGGUGAAAGGCCAAUCAAACCGGGAGAUAGCUGGUUCUCCCCGAAAGCUAUUUAGGUAGCGCCUCGUGAAUUCAUCUCCGGGGGUAGAGCACUGUUUCGGCAAGGGGGUCAUCCCGACUUACCAACCCGAUGCAAACUGCGAAUACCGGAGAAUGUUAUCACGGGAGACACACGGCGGGUGCUAACGUCCGUCGUGAAGAGGGAAACAACCCAGACCGCCAGCUAAGGUCCCAAAGUCAUGGUUAAGUGGGAAACGAUGUGGGAAGGCCCAGACAGCCAGGAUGUUGGCUUAGAAGCAGCCAUCAUUUAAAGAAAGCGUAAUAGCUCACUGGUCGAGUCGGCCUGCGCGGAAGAUGUAACGGGGCUAAACCAUGCACCGAAGCUGCGGCAGCGACGCUUAUGCGUUGUUGGGUAGGGGAGCGUUCUGUAAGCCUGUGAAGGUGUGCUGUGAGGCAUGCUGGAGGUAUCAGAAGUGCGAAUGCUGACAUAAGUAACGAUAAAGCGGGUGAAAAGCCCGCUCGCCGGAAGACCAAGGGUUCCUGUCCAACGUUAAUCGGGGCAGGGUGAGUCGACCCCUAAGGCGAGGCCGAAAGGCGUAGUCGAUGGGAAACAGGUUAAUAUUCCUGUACUUGGUGUUACUGCGAAGGGGGGACGGAGAAGGCUAUGUUGGCCGGGCGACGGUUGUCCCGGUUUAAGCGUGUAGGCUGGUUUUCCAGGCAAAUCCGGAAAAUCAAGGCUGAGGCGUGAUGACGAGGCACUACGGUGCUGAAGCAACAAAUGCCCUGCUUCCAGGAAAAGCCUCUAAGCAUCAGGUAACAUCAAAUCGUACCCCAAACCGACACAGGUGGUCAGGUAGAGAAUACCAAGGCGCUUGAGAGAACUCGGGUGAAGGAACUAGGCAAAAUGGUGCCGUAACUUCGGGAGAAGGCACGCUGAUAUGUAGGUGAAGUCCCUCGCGGAUGGAGCUGAAAUCAGUCGAAGAUACCAGCUGGCUGCAACUGUUUAUUAAAAACACAGCACUGUGCAAACACGAAAGUGGACGUAUACGGUGUGACGCCUGCCCGGUGCCGGAAGGUUAAUUGAUGGGGUCAGCGCAAGCGAAGCUCUUGAUCGAAGCCCCGGUAAACGGCGGCCGUAACUAUAACGGUCCUAAGGUAGCGAAAUUCCUUGUCGGGUAAGUUCCGACCUGCACGAAUGGCGUAAUGAUGGCCAGGCUGUCUCCACCCGAGACUCAGUGAAAUUGAACUCGCUGUGAAGAUGCAGUGUACCCGCGGCAAGACGGAAAGACCCCGUGAACCUUUACUAUAGCUUGACACUGAACAUUGAGCCUUGAUGUGUAGGAUAGGUGGGAGGCUUUGAAGUGUGGACGCCAGUCUGCAUGGAGCCGACCUUGAAAUACCACCCUUUAAUGUUUGAUGUUCUAACGUUGACCCGUGAUCCGGGUUGCGGACAGUGUCUGGUGGGUAGUUUGACUGGGGCGGUCUCCUCCUAAAGAGUAACGGAGGAGCACGAAGGUUGGCUAAUCCUGGUCGGACAUCAGGAGGUUAGUGCAAUGGCAUAAGCCAGCUUGACUGCGAGCGUGACGGCGCGAGCAGGUGCGAAAGCAGGUCAUAGUGAUCCGGUGGUUCUGAAUGGAAGGGCCAUCGCUCAACGGAUAAAAGGUACUCCGGGGAUAACAGGCUGAUACCGCCCAAGAGUUCAUAUCGACGGCGGUGUUUGGCACCUCGAUGUCGGCUCAUCACAUCCUGGGGCUGAAGUAGGUCCCAAGGGUAUGGCUGUUCGCCAUUUAAAGUGGUACGCGAGCUGGGUUUAGAACGUCGUGAGACAGUUCGGUCCCUAUCUGCCGUGGGCGCUGGAGAACUGAGGGGGGCUGCUCCUAGUACGAGAGGACCGGAGUGGACGCAUCACUGGUGUUCGGGUUGUCAUGCCAAUGGCACUGCCCGGUAGCUAAAUGCGGAAGAGAUAAGUGCUGAAAGCAUCUAAGCACGAAACUUGCCCCGAGAUGAGUUCUCCCUGACUCCUUGAGAGUCCUGAAGGAACGUUGAAGACGACGACGUUGAUAGGCCGGGUGUGUAAGCGCAGCGAUGCGUUGAGCUAACCGGUACUAAUGAACCGUGAGGCUUAACCUU